UACGGAGGGUGCAAGCGUUAUCCGGAUUUACUGGGUUUAAAGGGUGCGUAGGUGGGCCUGUAAGUCAGUGGUGAAAUCUUCAAGCUUAACUUGGAAACUGCCAUUGAUACUAUAGGUCUUGAAUUAUCUGGAGGUAAGCGGAAUAUGUCAUGUAGCGGUGAAAUGCUUAGAGAUGACAUAGAACACCCAUUGCGAAGGCAGCUUACUACGGAUUGAUUGACACUGAGGCACGAAAGCGUAGGGAUCAAACAGG
rnacentral:rRNA from 1 species